AUGGCUACAAGGGAGAGGACAUCUGGGUGAGUGGUGUCCAGUGAUUACUCUGUGCCAGGAUGACUGCGGCACUCAGCCUCGACCUCGCCAUGUCCCUAGAUUUUUUCUGAGGGCAAACAAGGCAGUGAGCCAUGGGGCUCUGGGUGUGACUGGCCAUAGGCCCCGAGACUUGUGGAAGAAUGGCAUGUCCUGCCUGCACUGUUUUCUCUGUAGCACCUAGCAAGUUUGUUUGCCAUACAUGGAUGACCUGGGGCACAUUUCCCAAUGACAUGCCGUCAUGUCUAGUUGUCUUCCCAGCAUGGUAGCCUCCAUUGUUACCCACCACAUAGUCCCCAUCAAAAUCAGGUUGAUUGGGCAGAACUUGCUGGAACCAUCCUGCAGGGGGAUCUUCCAUGUGUUUUGAACUAUUUAUUAACAAGAAGCAUUCCUGAAACUUUACCAUGGGUCAUCAUUCUCUGUUUUAGAUGCUCUCCCAGUCUUCACUGGUUCUCUUCUAGCUUACCUGGAGAAAAUCAAGAAUGGAUCUUGAGAUUACUUCUCUAAACUUUAAAACGUUCUUAAUGACUAUCUGACUGGUGGGAAGGCCCAGACUUCCUCUUUUCUCUUUGACACAGCGUGAAGAGAAUGAUGCUGACUUGGAGCCCGCCCUCAUCUUCUCCUCUAAGGUGGAGUUAGAGGCUCAUGUGUCAGGAGCAGUAGACUGCUUUCCACAAAUUGUGAAGGAUCAAAGAGUGUUGGGUCUCUGGACUGGGUUGACAGUCCACUUGCUGGAGGUAGUUCCAUACUUCAGAGUUGUUUGACUCCUUUGAAUUCUGAAAAAAAAAAAAAAAUCUGUUUUCAACCAAAUAGCUGCAUUGUGUCUGCUCCUCUU
rnacentral:lncRNA from 1 species